rnacentral:tRNA from 1 species
GGGGUUGUGGCUCAGCGGUAGAGCGAUCGCAUUGCAAGUGCGAGAAAUGGGUUCGAUCCUCAGCACCA